rnacentral:rRNA from 1 species
UACCAGCACCCCGAGUGGUCGGGACGAUUAUUGGGCCUAAAGCAUCCGUAGCCGGUCCUACAAGUCUUCCGUUAAAUCCACCUGCUCAACAGAUGGGCUGCGGAAGAUACUAUAGGGCUAGGAGGCGGGAGAGGCAAGCGGUACUCAGUGGGUAGGGGUAAAAUCCUCUGAUCCAUUGAAGACCACCAGUGGCGAAGGCGGCUUGCCAGAACGCGCUCGACGGUGAGGGAUGAAAGCUGGGGGAGCAAACCGGAUUAGAUG